rnacentral:rRNA from 1 species
AANACAGGGGGAAACACCUGNUAAUAACNGNAGGCCGGUGACAAUNGAANGGGGGACCAACUAAAAAUUUAUCGGGAGUGGGAGGGCUCCCGGGCCAAUCAGCCUGAUGGGGAGGUAACGGCUCACCAAGGNGUNGACGGGUAGNUGGUAUGAGAGGAUGAUCAGCCACACUGGGACUGAGACACGGCCCAGACUCCUACGGGAGGCAGCAGUGGGGAAUCUUGCACAAUGGGCGCAAGCCUGAUGCAGCAACGCCGCUUGCGGGAAGAAGGCCCUAGGGUUGUAAACCGCUUUCAGCAGGGAAGAAAAUGACGGUACCUGUAGUAGAAGGUGCGGCCAAGUUACGUGCCAGCAGCCGCGGUGACACGUAGGCACCAAGCGUUGUCCGGAUUUAUUGGGCGUACAAGAGCUCGUAGGCGGUUCGGUAAGUCGGGUGUGACAAUCUCUAGGGCUCAACCCAGAGACGCCACCCGAUACUGCUGUGACUAGUAGUGCGGUAGGGGAGCGGGGACUUCCGUGGUGUAGCGGUGAAAUGACGCAGAUAUCAGGAGGAACACCAGUGGCUGAAGGCGCCGCUCUGGGUCCGUGACUGACGACUGAGGAGCGUAAGUCGUGGGUAGCAAACAGGAUUAGAUACCCUGGUAGUC